GCUGCUGAACUGCAAAUGUGUUUGGUUUAGGUGCCGCGGAGUGCAUAUUAUCGGAGUUGAAAACAAAGUCAAAAGCCGGCAUGUGUUGACGUCUCUCUCACGAUGUAACUCAAACGAGCAAGUUCUCGUACGAGCGCACACAACGAGCGCACAGUUCCAUGCAUACAUCGAGCGGCAUGACAAGCACUACAAUACCAAACCAACUUAUACAAGUGCGCACACCAAUUCAGUUUGCAAUCAACCUUUGCGGUGUGUGUCCGAUCCAUGUUGUAUUUGUAGUAUUUUUGCGAAUUUACGCUUCAUAAUGGACGAUCUGGUGGACCAGAAGUUAAACAUACGUUUGGUACAAGCUGUGGAGAAGUAUUCAAUUAUAUACAAUACCGCAAUAAAAGGUUUUAACCGAAAGCGGAAUAUUCGUGCAAGGGAAGCAGCGUGGAAGACUAUUGGAGAGGAGUUGAAAUGUGACGAUUUAUCUCGUUCUACAGGCCAUUUUUGGUCCCUAUGACCGACAUCUAUAGCCGUUGAGCUGAAUAUAGCAGACGCGUUGAGAAGGCCUGCAAAUAAUAGAAAUCAUGCCUGGUGCUGGGAUGUUGCAGCGUUUGACAAAUAAAAAAAAAAGAGAAUAUAUUUAAAGACACGGGACUAUGAACAUUGUUAACGUUGAAAAUAUAGAAAAGACCAACGGCACAAGGAAGGGGAGCGAAAAAUGCAGGUGAAGUGAUCUUGAGAGCAUACGGAUAGGAUGGUCCAGGAAAUAGAAAUGAGGGAGACGACAUGGAAUUUUAUUUCCCCAGAAUACCGGAUUCGGGAAGCCCAAUGGCUUUUUUCUUAAUUACUAUUACUAUGAAUGAAGCAGGUUGGUAAACUAGACAGAUUAUAUUGCCAUUCAACCUCUCGGUGAGGAGUCUAGGAGUAUUCCAUAUAACGUUCACGGACAUUCAUUACGAUUUCCGCUGUCCUACCUAAAACGCUGCUUCAUCGAACUGAUGGGAGAAUUCCAGUUUCCUACUACUAAAUGGGAUACGUUAGCCGAAAAGAUAUAGUAAAACUAAUGCUGCAACUACCCAACUCACGUAACAGCCGUCCAUAGCAACCUAUCUUAUGAGAACUCCA